AUUCCUUCAUUUUCCCCUCUUUGAGCAAUAUCUUGCUCAUACCCUAUUUAAGGAGUCCUGGUCAGACAACCAGCCAUCUGCCAUGGUAUAUUCAGGAUUUCUAGCCAAUCCUGCAGGUCUUUCAUUAUGUCUUCGGCCACUAUUCCCAUAGCAUAGGACUAGGCAUCUGACCAGUACCACAAACUUAUAGAUCUGUAUCAGCAUGUUCACCAUUGCUUCGGUUAUGUGUAUACAUUUGGAGAUACUCAUCAUAGCAAGCUGGGGAUUUUACAGGAACAUUGUUGCAUGUAUGUUUGUAAAUGCAGAAUACAAUAAUCUUGAAAAUAGCAUAAACAAGUAGAGCAAGGAUCAGAACCAUAACAAUAAUUAUUGCAAUAUUCUUUAGCCAGUCUAGGAUACUGUCAAACUUAAACAUAUCUGCCCAUGGGUGAUCAAUACCUGAAUUCCUCUUCAUUUCUAUGGACAGGUCUUCCAAUUUCUUUAUAGCUAGGGUUACUUUACCAUUAGGGCCAGUGUUCUCUGGAAUAUAGGUACAACAAACACCGGAGUCAAGUAAUUUACAGACUCCUCCCUUUUCUGCUAAAAUCAUAUCAAGGGCCAUUCUAUUCUGGAAAGUCAUUUGUGAGGUAGCCUGUAAUUGUUCAGCAAGACCUUGUAAUGCAUCUCGUGUAUAAUUUACAAAUCUUUGCCGAUUAUAAUAUAUAUAAUUAAUCC